rnacentral:rRNA from 1 species
AACGAACGCUGGCGGCAGGCUUAACACAUGCAAGUCGAACGCACCGCAAGGUGAGUGGCAGACGGGUGAGUAACACGUGGGGAUCUGCCCAAUGGUACGGAAUAGCUCCGGGAAACUGGAAUUAAUACCGUAUGUGCCCUUCGGGGGAAAGAUUUAUCGCCAUUGGAUGAACCCGCGUCGGAUUAGCUAGUUGGUGAGGUAAAGGCUCACCAAGGCGACGAUCCGUAGCUGGUCUGAGAGGAUGAUCAGCCACACUGGGACUGAGACACGGCCCAGACUCCUACGGGAGGCAGCAGUGGGGAAUAUUGGACAAUGGGCGCAAGCCUGAUCCAGCCAUGCCGCGUGAGUGAUGAAGGCCUUAGGGUUGUAAAGCUCUUUCGCCGACGAAGAUAAUGACGGUAGUCGGAGAAGAAGCCCCGGCUAACUACGUGCCAGCCGCCGCCGUAAUAC